rnacentral:rRNA from 1 species
UACGUAGGGGGCAAGCGUUAUCCGGAAUUACUGGGUUUAAAGGGUGCGCAGGCGGUCUGUUAAGUCAGCGGUCAAAGCCCGGGGCUCAACCCCGGCCCGCCGUUGAAACUGGCAGUCUCGAGUUGGAGAGAAGUAUGCGGAAUGCGCGGUGUAGCGGUGAAAUGCAUAGAUAUCGCGCAGAACUCCGAUUGCGAAGGCAGCAUACCGGUGCACAACUGACGCUCAGGCACGAAAGCGUGGGUAUCGAACAGG